rnacentral:rRNA from 1 species
GAAGGAACAUUAAAGAUUCUAAGGCUUCGGUCUUAAUUUCGGCUGUGCCUAGCUGAAGCCUUAACUCUCCCACCUGUGCACCUUUUCGGUUGCGGUUUCGGCCGCUUCGCUUUUUCAUGCAACCCCGAAAAGCUAGAAUGGUGAAGAAAAACUAUAAAGAAACACUUUUCACAACGGAUCUCUGGGUCCCCCUUCAUGAAGAAAGCACCAAAAGGGAUAAGUAAUGGGAAUUGCAGAAUUCGGGGAAUCUCAAAUCUUUGAACGCCUUGGGUCCUGUGAUUUCAGGGAGAAGCCGGUUUGAGGGGCCGAAACCCCCCCACUCCCCUUGUGAUUAAACACGUCUCGCGGUAGUUGUCGGUGGACCUGCGACCGCCCGGCAUAAUCGGCUCGUCUUAAAAGCACAUUAGCUGGGCUUUUUUACACAUAAUGAGUUUUGGGGCGAACGGUGUAGAUAAUUAUGUGCGCCGACUCCCCCUGGCCCUUCUUCAGCCCCGAGCCGACGCUGCUUACCAGCCGUCCCUCUGUGGACAACUAUUUUAAAGCCUUGGCCUCAAAAUCAGGUAGGGGG